rnacentral:rRNA from 1 species
ACUCAAAGGAAUUGACGGGGACCCGCACAAGCGGUGGAGCAUGUGGUUUAAUUCGACGCAACGCGAAGAACCUUACCUGGACUAGAAUGUGAGGGAAGGUUGGGUUAUACCAAUCGUCCGGGAAACCGGACCCAAAACAAGGUGCUGCAUGGCUGUCGUCAGCUCGUGUCGUGAGAUGUUGGGUUAAGUCCCGCAACGAGCGCAACCCUUAUCAACAGUUGCCAUCAUUAAGUUGGGAACUCUGUUGAGACUGCCGUUGAUAAAACGGAGGAAGGUGGGGAUGAUGUCAAGUCAUCAUGGCCUUUAUGUUCAGGGCUACACACGUGCUACAAUGGCCGGUACAAAACGUCGCAAUCUCGCAAGAGGGAGCUAAUCGCUAAAACCGGUCUCAGUUCGGAUUGGAGUCUGCAACUCGACUCCAUGAAGUUGGAAUCGCUAGUAAUCGCAAAUCAGCAUGUUGCGGUGAAUACGUUCCCGGGUCUUGUACACACCGCCCGU